UUGCGACCCCAGGUCAGGCGGGAUUA
rnacentral:rRNA from 12 species